GACAGAGGGGGCAAGCGUUGCUCGGAAUUACUGGGCGUAAAGGGCGCGUAGGCGGGAUGGCAAGUCGGUCGUGAAAGCCUUCGGCUCAACCGAAGAACGUCGGCCGAUACUGCCGUUCUUGAGGGAUGCAGAGGAGACUGGAAUUCCCGGUGUAGCGGUGAAAUGCGUAGAUAUCUGGAGGAACACCGGUGGCGAAGGCGGCGUCCUGGACCAACACUGACACUGAGGAGCGAAAGCCAGGGGAGCAAACGGG
rnacentral:rRNA from 1 species